UGGCUCAGGAUGAACGCUGGCGGCGUGCUAAUACAUGCAAGUCGAACGUUGACUUUGGAAAACUAGGGUUGGCGUGGCGGACGGGUGAGUAACACAUGGUUGACCUGCCCUUCGGAGGGGGACAACGGCUGGAAACGGUCGCUAAUACCCCAUACGCUGGCUGGGGCUAGAGGCCCGGUCAGGAAAGCAGCAAUGUGCCGAAGGAGGGGACUGUGGCCCAUCAGCUAGUUGGAGAGGUAAAGGCUCACCAAGGCUGGGACGGGUAGGGGGCCUGAGAGGGUGGUCCCCCACACUGGAACUGAGAGACGGUCCAGACUCCUACGGGAGGCAGCAGUAAGGGAUAUUGCGCGAAUGGACGAAAGUCUGACGCAGCAACGCCGCGUGCGGGAUGAAGGCCUUCGGGUCGUAAACCGCUUUUCGAGGUGAAGAGCGAGGACGGUAGCCUCGGAAUAAGUCUCGGCUAACUACGUGCCAGCAGCCGCGGUAAAACGUAGGAGGCGAGCGUUAUCCGGAUUUACUGGGUGUAAAGCGCGUGCAGGCGGUUGGAUAAGUUCGAUGUGAAAGCGCCUGGCUCAACCGGGCGAGGACGUCGAAGACUGUUCGACUGGAGGCAGGGAGAGGUCUGUGGAAUUCCGGGUGUAGUGGUGAAAUGCGUAGAGAUCCGGAGGAACACCAGUGGCGAAGGCGGCAGACUGGCCCUGACCUGACGCUCAGACGCGAAAGCACGGGGAGCGAACGGGAUUAGAAACCCCGGUAGUCCGUGCCGUAAACGAUGCAGACUAGGUGUCGGCGACGCGAGUCGGCGGUGCCGCAGCUAACGUGAUAAGUCUGCCACCUGGGGAGUACGGCCGCAAGGUUAAAACUCAAAGGAAUUGACGGG
rnacentral:rRNA from 1 species